UAAAUGAUAGAUUGUGCUUCAUUAGCAGUUUAUGUGAGGCACUGGAGUCCUUCCCAAGCUCACCCUCCUGUAUCACCCAGGCCCAGAAAAGCCAGGCCUUGCAGCCAAGCCAAGAGGCUUCUGUCCAUGGGAGAUGGAUGGCCUGAAAGGGACACUCCAGGAGUGUCUGGGGUGGGGAGGGGCUAUGGAGGGAAAGGAGGGUCAUGUCAUAUGUCUGGGGUUCAGCAAAUUGUACCCACAUACCAGGCACAGAAACAUACAAGGAAGGCACCCCCGCUCUGUGGGCGAGACAAAGCAGCAAUCCUCUUCCCACAUGCCAACCCAUCUGCUUCUUUGCCUUCACAAACGUGCCUUUUUUCUUUCUUCUUUUUUUGGUCCUCUGCAGCUUGGAAUACAUGAGGAAGAAGAGUGGGAGACAGGAGGAAAGGUAAGGUUGGGAGAGGGCAAGAGGAAAGGAGGGGAGUAGAGGGAACACUCCAUCGAUUGCCAGCACAAUAAACUGUAUCAUGGACUA
rnacentral:lncRNA from 1 species